rnacentral:lncRNA from 1 species
AAUAUCCGUUCUUUGUUAAUCUCUUCUCUCCCCACUAUCCAUAGGGAAUGAAUACCACGUAACCAGACAGCCAUAAACCAUCUGCUGCAGACCACUGAUAGGAGUCUAUAGACCACCAGUUUGGGAAACCUCUGCUUCACACUUCUAAAUGAUUCGACAUUUGUUCCGUCUGAUGACACCACGAAUCUGGGAAUGAAGAACUUCUUAGAGCUGAUUGGAAAUGGCAUUACGGAGCUGAAACUUAACUGGAGGAAAUAUAUCUCCUGAAGAAGAAAAUAUAAUGCACUAUAAGGAUCUGACUUCUGGUGAAAAAUUCAAGCCUAGAGAAAACUUGUCCGCUUUGUUAGGAAGAAUGGGUUGGACAAUUUUCUUCAGUUCCAAAGGAUAUCUGAAUGCCAUGCUGAGCUUAAUCUCUGCAGCAUGCUCUGUGCUUCUCAUCUCUUCCUGAUGCACUGCAUGGUUAUCCUGAAGGGGACGAUAAAGAAACUGGCCACCAAGAUGGUAAUCACUAGUGGAAAUGAAGAAGAUAAAGGGAGUCAAGAAAAGGAAAGCAAAGAAGAAACCAUCUUGGCAAUGCUUGGAAUUAUUGGGACAAUUCUGAACCUCAUUGUGAUCAUUUUUGUGUAUAUUUACACAACGUUGUAAACUAGAAGGCAUGCAAAUAGACCAGAUAAAAUGGCCAUUAAGAAUGACAACAAACAUUGCUGACUAUUGACAAGUUCUUUAAUCAGAAUUGACUCUGUAUUAUAUUAACACAUCAUAAAAGCACUGCCUGCAGGCAGCGAAGACUGAAGCACAAUUAAUUUAACAAGACUUUUUCACACAGUAAUAAGCUUAACUCUUCUAUCCUGCCCUCUCCCUUUCGGUUUGGUUUUCAGUUUGGGGGAGAAUGACUGCAGUUAUGUAAGCUGUAGCUUUGAAGAAAUCCACCAGGGAUAUGUUGUUUUAACACAAUUUAAAAAAAAAAAAAAAAAGAAAAAAUAGAAAGAAAAAAAAGAAAAUAAAGAAACUGUACACUAUAUAUAAUUAGAAAUG